AAACAUAGCAGUUUAAAGUAGUAAGCAUCAAGUAUCUCCAUUUUAGUGGGUAUGAAUUCAGGAGAAACUUAGCUGGUGGCUUGGGUUCAGGGUCUCAGAGAUCAAUUCAUCUCAUGGUGUGGUGGGUAGCAGGCAGAACUUGAUCACCUAGCAUUUGGAGGGAAGGAGUACUAGAGACUACAAAGAAGAAACCAUAGCAUCAUUCGCAUCCUACUACUACAGAAAACCCCUGCUGUCAUUUCUUCUGCUCCUUUCACUAACUAGAAACCCAGUCACCAGGCCUGCUGACACUUAGGACUGCAAUCCGGUCUACUUCUGGAAGUAGAAGAUGCUGCUCUCACAAAAGGGCCAGAUCUUAGUGCAAAUGAAGAGGAGCUGGUAUACGUCAGUUACAUAAAAUAGAUGGAGGUGGAGUUGGUGACAGGUGUGAUAAACAGCACGGAGGAUGCAGAGCGUUUGCCACAGCCUGCUGCACUGAAGACCAAGGCAGCAAGAGUGCUGUUAGGAGGGAGAUGAUGCACACCUUCUCACAUUCGAGAUUGUUUCCAGUGGACAAGCAGUGCCGCUGGGUUAGAAGCCUGUGAGUCUGAGUGUGUCAGAGGCAAGGUACUCUUCAAUGGAUGGCUUUUUCCUCUUCACGGUGCGCUUGUGAGACCUAAUGGAACAGGCAGUGGAGAGCUGCAAUCUUGAUGCUCAUGGAGGUCAACGGUGGUGUCUGCGGAUCCAUUCAAUCCCAUCAUCCUCCUACUCAUACAGCAGAUACCCCACAAAGCUUAGGAAGCAGAGCAACUUUUCGCCAGUAAGGCUUUCCCUACAACGACACAGGCCAUUCGACACAGGCCAUUCGCUUCUUCGCAUACACUUGGAAGGCUUAGCAGCUCUUCUCUUGCCUCCGUGGACGUCAUGGUUCUGGCACACUUCCCUCCACCCCACCAACACACAGACACACAGACUUUGACCACACACUCUCACACCAGAAGAGUCAGAAAAUACACGAAGGAAAAAAAAUCUAAUAAUACUUACUUGAGGUUUUUUAAACUCCUUGGGGGUAGAUAGAUACAAGGCAGUAAACCAGCAUAAGGAAAGAAAAACAGUUUUUGUUGUUUUUUUUUAAAAAGCUAAUAAAAAAAAUCCCAUAGGAAGGAAAUGGAAACCCCCCAACCCCCCAAAAUGGAGCUAAAUUGUGCGGUUGCUGUUAGCUGCCUUCCUGGAAGGGGGCAGAAGCUGAAAGCAUUCGCCACUUAGACUGGAAUUGUUUUCUAAACAGAUUUUCUUAGUGUGUAUUUUUCACAUAUUUUAACCUUUCUCAAAACACCCUGGCCAAAAGCAGUAAAAUUGCCGUGCUAUUAAACUUAAAUUAGGGGCUUGUGCAGACUGAGGGGCCCAGCUGGGUUCCCUCUGGCAACAGGGAGAAGGAGGGAGGGGAAAGCCACCAUGAUGUGUUGCCCUCAGGGACUUGCCUGGUACCUCUUUGGGAAAGCCCAGCUAAACCUGGCCCCUGGCUAAUAACGGGGAGACAGCAAGAGGGAAAGCAAUGAUAGGAAGUUUUAAAAAAAAAUGAAUUAAAAACUAUUAUUUUUUUUCUUUUUUUUUUUUCGGGGCUGGGGACCGAACCCAGGACCUUGGGCUUCCUAGGCAAGCGCUCUACCACUGAGCCAAAUCCCCAACCCCCCUAUUAUUUUUUAAAUAAAAAAAUAUGCACAUCAAGUGGGAAAAUGAUCACACCUGCAUGCUUUCAAACGCAGAGUUUGAGAUGGAACCAGUGUUAUUCUGCGCUUUCAGCGUCAAAGGGCGGGCGUAGGUAGGAGCUGUUAGAUUCUAGCAGAAUGCUGGGAGGUGGGGACAGAGCAGUGUGGCGAGAGACCCACGCUUUGUUCAAAACAGUAGAUUUUUUAGUUUAAGCCAUGCUGGGAACGACAGACAUUUCACAAGUCAUCCCCAGCCAAAGAAAAGUCAUUUGCCUUCUCAUCCUUUUUCUUGGUCUUUGGGGACUCAAUAAAGUGUUGCUUUUGUCUCUGGGAGCACAAACUCUGGGUGCACGUGAGGCCUGGGAGACACAUGAAGUCACCUCCUGUUAUGACUGCCCACACAGACAGACGAGGCCAGAGGGUACCCCAGGAAAGCUGUGCUGAGCGGAAAGCGUCUGAGUGGGUUUAUUGAUCUCAUUGGAAAAUGGGCAUUUCAGCUUCUCUCCACGGAGUCGGCCUGGACGUGUCAGCAAGGCGUCCCUUUGGACCCAUCGACCGGAGCUGAAGAAUGUACCGCACUUCGCCUCCACUGAUUCCGCUGCUGCCGCCGGUGCUGUCCUAUGGUCCAUCCAGGAAGAAAGAGAGGGAUGGUGGCAGCAGCCACUUCCCUCUGCGAACAGCCUGUGUCUGCACUGGGAGCCUGCACGCGCUGAUCUGGUUAGAGAAGCGCUUAAGGCCGUGGAUCCUUGGCACAGAGACUGUCGCAGUUGGGAAGGGUCUUUGGCUCCCAGAUAUUUUGAGGCAGUGGGCAAAACAUAAAAACAGUCUGCUUUAGCCACCCAGCCUUGCAGCUCAAAUCUGAGCUUAGACUGUGAGGACAUGACCAAAGGAAACAAAUGCUUGACCAGACAUCUGACAACAUCUGUUUACUUUGCUUGUGCGAGUGCAGCCUGCCUGGCCUGAGGUGUCUGCUUUUGGCUGGAAGGCAAGAUGGAGGCCCCUUGUAAACACAGGCCAUGCCAAGAACAGGCAAAGCUUACCUAGGUGACUGCCCUCUUCCCUAUUGGAAUUGCUCACUGUGAUGGGCUUCUUCCUGUUCUCGGCAAAUCUAAACUUGUAGUAGAUGAAGAAAGAGGUGGACACAAAUAAACCAGAGGUUUGGAUCCAUCCCUCCACCCCCGUUUCUUAGCUCAGGAAACCAAAGGGUCUCAAGUCCACACCCCUUUC